AGCGGAUUAGCGGCGGACGGGUGAGUAACACGUGAGUAACCUGCCUUAGACAUUGGGAUAGCCUCGGGAAACCGGGAUUAAUACCAAAUAAAAUCAUAAUGACACAUGUCAUAACGAUCAAAACUCCGGUGGUCUAAGAUGGACUCGCGUCCCAUUAGCUAGUUGGUAGAGUAAAAGCCUACCAAGGCGACGAUGGGUAGCCGGCCUGAGAGGGUGAACGGCCACAUUGGGACUGAGAAACGGUCCAA
rnacentral:rRNA from 1 species